rnacentral:rRNA from 1 species
GAAUAUUGCAAAAUGGGCGCAAGCCUGAUGCAGCAACGCCGCGUGGGCGAUGAAGGCCUUCGGGCCGUAAAGCCCUUUUUGGAGGGAAGAGGAAGGACGGUACCUCCAGAAUAAGCCUCGGCUAACUACGUGCCAGCAGCCGCGGUAAAACGUAGGAGGCAAGCGUUAUCCGGAUUUACUGGGCGUAAAGCGCGUGUAGGCGGCUGGGCAAGUUGGCUGUGAAAGCUCCCGGCUUAACUGGGAGAGGUCGGUCAAAACUGCCGCAGCUGGAGAUUGGUAGAGGGAGAUGGAAUUCCGGGUGUAGUGGUGAAAUGCGUAGAUAUCCGGAGGAACACCAGUGGCGAAAGCGAUCUCCUGGACCACAUCUGACGCUCAGACGCGAAAGCUAGGGGAGCGAAC